rnacentral:rRNA from 1 species
UACCAGCACCCCGAGUGGUCGGGACGAUUAUUGGGCCUAAAGCAUCCGUAGCCGGUCCUGCAAGUCUUCCGUUAAAUCCAGCUGCUCAACAGAUGGGCUGCGGGGGAUACUACAGGGCUAGGAGGCGGGAGAGGCAAGCGGUACUCAGUGGGUAGGGGUAAAAUCCGUUGAUCCAUUGAAGACCACCAGUGGCGAAGGCGGCUUGCCAGAAUGCGCUCGACGGUGAGGGAUGAAAGCUGGGGGAGCAAACCGG